rnacentral:lncRNA from 10 species
GCACUGUUGUUUGUAACAGCAACAAAUGGGGAACAGCACAAAUGUCCCAUGGGCAUGGGGUUGGCUGGAUACAUCCCAGUAAAUAUGUCCACACAACACAGAACAAUUCUGCUAUUAAACGUGGUAGAGUAGCCCUCUAUUUACUGACAUGGGAAGGUAGUCAUGACUCACUGCUGAGUGAAAAAGGCAUAUAAGAAAACAUCAGGCUGGGUGCGGUGGCUCACGUCUGUAAUCCCAGCACUUUGGGAGGCCGAGGCGGGCAGAUCACAAAGUCAGGAGAUCGAGACCAUCCUGGCUGACACGGUGAAACCCCGUCUCUAC